GACGCACUCUCUCUUUUCCUCUCAGAUUUUUUUUACUCUCUUUUUCUUUCUUUCUUCUCUCUUCCGCCUCUUUUCCUCUAGGUUCUUUAACUUCUUUUUACUUCUUUCUUUCUUCACUCUUCUGCCUCUUUUCCUCAGUUUUUUCUUCUUCUUUCUCUCUUAUUCUUUCUCCUCUCAAUUCGUCUCCAUUUUUUUUCCCUCUCUUUCUCUGAUUUUCUGUUACUCUGAUUUUUUUCUUCUUGGUUUUAUGUUUCUCUCUCUCCCUCUAUAUCUCUUUCUUUGCAACUCUGUUUUUCAAUUUCUCCUUUUUUUUCUCUCUUCAUUUUUUGUUUCUCUGUACAUAUAUGUGUUCAUCUUGUAGAUCUGGGUGAAAUUCUUGUAGAUCUAGGUGAAGUUCUUGGAGAUCUGCGUUAAGUUCUUGUAGAUCUAGGUAAAGAGCCAAUUCAAAGCAGGUCAGCGUCUCUUAUCUCCCCAAUCCCUUGUGAAGAUAUGUAUUUUUUUUGUUGUCAACAAUCCAUUUUGGUGUUUUUAUAUGGUAUUGAUAUUUUCUAUGAUUUUGGGCUGAUUUGAGGUCUGAUUCUUUUUUUUUCUUUCAAUUUUUUCCUGUUGUGUUUUGAUAGACAUGUUCUCUAUUCCUGAUAUCAUUCCUCAGUGGCAAAAUCUUUGAGCGUUGUUGUAAAUUUUAGACGGGAAAGAAGCUCAUUCAUAAUUCAAAAAAAGAAAAUAAAGUUACAACAACUGACAAUUUGUUGCUCUUUGAAAUAGGUACUGAAGUAGCAUGGAUAAAAAGAAAGACUGAAGAUGUUGCAGAAGAUUGAAUAUGUUCUAUUUCUGUAAUUUGUUUGUAAUUAAAUUUGUUUAUUUUGUUUUGUUUUUAGGUUGUAAGUUUUAUUUUAAUGUUUGAUAUUUGUUGUUUUGUCAAAAAAUUGUAUUAAUGCUUGAUGGAUUCAUUCAAUUUGCAGUGCGUGGAUGUGAAUUGGGCCAAUCGGUAAUAAUUAGGCCCAAAAGGUUUUAAAUAUCAAUUGGGCUGAAACUUACAAAAAAAUUUAAGAACAAAAAAAAAAUCAAUUAAGCUGUGUGUCG
rnacentral:lncRNA from 1 species